UCGCGAUCCCGCGGGUGAUUGUGUUCGCGAUCCCAGCAAGAAGCUUUGAUCCCGAUCCGCGGGCGAUCGUGUUCGCGAUCCCGGCGAAAAAGCUUCUCCAAAAGCAAGGCAUGAGCUCAAGGGCUUCCCCGCCCGUCGCUAUGGAACCGAGGUCAUGAGGAUUUUGUUCUCUUGUCUGUGCGUCGGUGAACGUAGCGAAGGUAGUAAAUCCCCCGCCGUGUUUGGGAGACCCGAUAUUCGUUUGAGGUUUCAGACAAAAACGAGGCCAUAAAGAUUUGCCUCCCUCAAAAAAAUAUAGAUUUGCCCUCCACUUUCAGAUUGGUUUUCUUUGUGUUUAUCUGAGGAGAAAGUAACGUGAGAUAAUGGGGAUGAAUUACUUAUGAGCAAAGAAGUCUUGGAGACGGAUUGCUUGGAUGCUAGUCGCGGGCGGAUCGCGGGCAAUCCCACGGAAUCACGGGCGAUCACGAUCGCGAUCAAUCUCCUUUCUUUGUCCCUGUUUCUCCCUAUUUCUUUCUUCCUGUUUCUUUCUAUUUCUUUAUCCCUCUUUCUCCUUGUUUCUCCCUGUUUCUUUCUCCUUGUUUCUCGCUGUUUCCAUAAUAUUUAAAGGAGCUCUGCUGUUUGGGAUUGAAGAAUACCGGUUGAUGUCUGAGAAAGUGAAGCUGUUGUUUCUAAACGCCAUGGUUUCUGAAUGUUAAUUUCUAAAAUUCUUUUCU